UACGUAGGGUGCAAGCGUGUCCGGAAUUAUUGGGCGUAAAGAGCUCGUAGGCGGUCUGUCACGUCGGCUGUGAAAACUCGGGGGCUCAACCCCGCGCUUGCAUUCGAUACGGGCAGGCUCGAGUUCGGGUAGGGGAGACUGGAAUUCCUGGUGUAGCGGUGAAAAUGCGCAGAUAUCAGGAGGAACACCGGUGGCGAAGGCGGGUCUCUGGGGCCGAUACUGACGUGAGGAGCGAAAAGCGUGGGGGGAGCGAAACAGGGA
rnacentral:rRNA from 1 species